AUUGAACGCUGGCGGCAUGCUUUACACAUGCCAGUCGAACGGCAGCGCGGGCUUCGGCCUGGCGGCGAGUGGCGAACGGGUGAGUAAUACAUCGGAACGUGCCCAGUAGUGGGGGAUAGCUCGGCGAAAGCCGGAUUAAUACCGCAUACGACCUGAGGGUGAAAGCGGGGGAUCUUCGGACCUCGCGCUAUUGGAGCGGCCGAUGGCAGGUUAGCUAGUUGGUGGGGUAAAGGCCUACCAAGGCGACGAUCUGUAGCUGGUCUGAGAGGACGACCAGCCACACUGGGACUGAGACACGGCCCAGACUCCUACGGGAGGCAGCAGUGGGGAAUUUUCGACAAUGGGCGAAAGCCUGAUCCAGCAAUGCCGCGUGUGUGAUGAAGGCCUUCGGGUUGUAAAGCACUUUUGGCGGGAACGAAAAGGACUGUGCCAAUACCACGGUUCGAUGACGGUACCCGCAGAAUAAGCACCGGCUAACUACGUG
rnacentral:rRNA from 1 species